rnacentral:rRNA from 1 species
CGCAUCUGUGCAUGCAGCAUAUCAAUAAGCGGAGGAAAAGAAACUAACAAGGAUUCCCCUAGUAACGGCGAGUGAAGCGGGAAGAGCUCAAAUUUGAAAUCUUAAAGGGUUUCCCUUUACGAAUUGUAGUUUAAAGAAGUGUUUUCUGUUGAGGUUUUGGUAAAAGUUCUUUGGAAUAGGACAUCAUAGAGGGUGAGAAUCCCGUAUUUGACCUUUACUUUCAACUUUGUGAUACACUUUCAAAGAGUCGGAUUGUUUGGGAAUGCAGUCCAAAAUGGGUGGUAAAUUUCAUCUAAAGCUAAAUAUUGGCGAGAGACCGAUAGCGAACAAGUACCGUGAGGGAAAGAUGAAAAGAACUUUGAAAAGAGAGUUAAACAGUACGUGAAAUUGUCAAAAGGGAAGCGUUUGACACCAGUGUUGUUUUUCUGAAAAUCAAUUAAAGAACUGUUUAUGCUAAGCUGUUUAGACUUUAUCAGCUAACUGUUUAGUUUUGAGCUUUUCUUUAAUGCACUUCUCAGUUAACAAGUCAACAUCAAUUUCUUUUGCUGUAAAAAAGCUUGAGGAAGGUGGCUUGAGAUUCGUCCUUAAGUGUUUAUAGCCUCUUGCCUAUGCAGUCGGAGAGAUUGAGGUCUGCAGCGUAGAUCCUUCGGGGCUAAAUGCAUUUGUGCUAAGUUAUAGCAUUUUAUAGACAAUUUGUUGACUAUGAUUUGUCUUGUAGCUUACUCGCUUAUGUUAUUUUACCUACGCUUAGGAUGUUGAGUCAUCACACAUCUCU